rnacentral:rRNA from 1 species
AUUGAACGCUGGCGGCAUGCUUUACACAUGCAGGUCGAACGGUAACAGGCCUUCGGGUGCUGACGAGUGGCGAACGGGUGAGUAAUGCAUCGGAACGUACCCAGAGGUGGGGGAUAACGCAGCGAAAGCUGUGCUAAUACCGCAUGUGAUCUGAGGAUGAAAGCGGGGGACCGAGCAGCAAUGUUUGGCCUCGCGCCUUUGGAGCGGCCGAUGUCGGAUUAGCUAGUUGGUGGGGUAAAGGCCUACCAAGGCGACGAUCCGUAGCUGGUCUGAGAGGACGACCAGCCACACUGGGACUGAGACACGGCCCAGACUCCUACGGGAGGCAGCAGUGGGGAAUUUUGGACAAUGGGCGCGAGCCUGAUCCAGCAAUGCCGCGUGCGGGAAGAAGGCCUUCGGGUUGUAAACCGCUUUUGGCAGGAACGAAACGGUGUCCGCUAAUACCGGGCGCUAAUGACGGUACCUGCAGAAUAAGCACCGGCUAACUACGUG